rnacentral:rRNA from 1 species
CAGCCGCCGCGGUAAUACGUAGGCGGCAAGCGUUGUCCGGAAUUAUUGGGCGUAAAGGGAGCGCAGGUGGGACGGUAAGUCCGUCUUAAAAGGCAGGGGCUCAGCCCCUGUAAGGGAUGGAAACUAUCGAUCUUGAGUGCCGGAGAGGAAAGCGGAAUUCCCAGUGUAGCGGUGAAAUGCGUAGAUAUUGGGAAGAACACCAGUGGCGAAGGCGGCUUUUCGGACGGCAACUGACACUGAGGCUCGAAAGCCAGGGGAGCGAACGGGAUUAGAUACCCGCGUAGUCCCUGUCUCUUAUACC